CCACAUGAUGAUUAAACAUUUCUUCACUUUGACCUGAUGUCUACUGAAGAAAUCCAGUAUCUGACA